GUGAGUAACGGGUACGUAAUCUACCUCCGCAACCCGGACAGCAAUAAGACAGGGAAACUAAUGCCGGAUCCGAUCGUUAGGCGGGAGGGGAACGGUGACAGUCGGCCUCGGGAAGAAGCCCGCGCUCGGGGAUGAGCCUGCGUCCUAUCAGCUAGUUGGCGGGGUAAAAGCCUACCAAGGCGAAGACGGGUAGCCGGCCUGAGAGGAUGAUCAGCCACACUGGCACUGAGACACUGCCCAGACUCCUA
rnacentral:rRNA from 1 species